GUCUUUUUGAUCAUAAUAUAAAGUCUGACCUGCUCAAUGAUAUUUAAUAUUAAAUAGCCGCGAUAAUUUGAUCGUGCAAAGGUAGCAUAAUAAUUUGUUUCUUAAUUAGGAACUGGAAUGAAAGGUCGAACGAGAAAAUGACUGUCUCAAUUUAAUUUUAAUUAAAAUUUUAUUUUUAAGUAAAAAAGCUUAAAUAUUUUUAAAAGACGAGAAGACCCUAUAGAGUUUUAUAUUGAAUUUAUUUAUUUUUAAUUUUAAGAAUUUAAUUUUAAAAUUAAUAAUAAAAUAUUUAAUUGGGGUGAUUGAAAAAUUAAAUUAACUUUUUUUAGUAUUAAACAUUUAUUUAUGAUUAAUUGAUCCAUUAAUAAUGAUUAUAAGAUUAAAUUACCUUAGGGAUAACAGCGUAAUGA
rnacentral:rRNA from 1 species